CGCGGAGAGGAGCAGUCUGGUAGCUCGUCGAGCUCAUAACCCGAAGGUCGUUGGUUCAAAUCCAGCCCCCGCAACCA
rnacentral:tRNA from 1 species